rnacentral:misc_RNA from 1 species
AACGCACAUUGCGCCCAUUAGUAUUCUAGUGGGCAUGCCUGUUCGAGCGUCAUUUCGACCCUUAAGCCCUGGUUGCUUAGCGUUGGGAGCUUACCCUCUGGUGGUAACUCUUUAAAGUCAGUGGCGGGCCCGCGGUGCCUCGAAGUGUAGUAAUUAUCGUUCUCGCUUCCCGAGGGUCAGCGCGUGGCACAGCCGUAAAACUUUAUUGCAAUUGGUUGACCUCGGAUCAGGUAGGAAUACCCGCUGAACUUAA